rnacentral:rRNA from 1 species
AUUGAACGCUGGCGGCAUGCCUUACACAUGCAAGUCGAACGGCAGCACGGGAGCAAUCCUGGUGGCGAGUGGCGAACGGGUGAGUAAUAUAUCGGAACGUGCCCAGUAGUGGGGGAUAGCCCGGCGAAAGCCGGAUUAAUACCGCAUGAGACCUGAGGGUGAAAGCGGGGGAUCGCAAGACCUCGCGCUAUUGGAGCGGCCGAUAUCAGAUUAGCUAGUUGGUGGGGUAAAGGCCUACCAAGGCAACGAUCUGUAGUUGGUCUGCGAGGACGACCAGCCACACUGGGACUGAGACACGGCCCAGACUCCUACGGGAGGCAGCAGUGGGGAAUUUUGGACAAUGGGCGCAAGCCUGAUCCAGCAAUGCCGCGUGCAGGAAGAAGGCCUUCGGGUUGUAAACUGCUUUUGUCAGGGAAGAAAUCCCUUGGGAUAAUACCUCGGGGGGAUGACGGUACCUGAAGAAUAAGCACCGGCUAACUACGUGCCAGCCGCCGCCGCCGUAA